GCCACCAGGAGGAACUUUCGCUGCCCGGACGCUAUGGAAAAAGGUCCAAGGAUAUCCAUCCCCCAUUGUGCAAACGGCCAUGGGGCACUCAAAGGUGUAAGUACGGAGGUGGGCUGUCUUUGGAUAUUCGCAUAUCUCUGACACCGAUCACACUUUCUGACAUAUUCAAUGGAGUCAUGGUACAUUGUAGGCUAGUAAUAACCUUGUCGAAGCAGUUUGUGGGAUAA
rnacentral:lncRNA from 1 species